rnacentral:rRNA from 1 species
GAUGAACGCUGGCGGCGUGCCUAAUACAUGCAAGUCGAGCGAACAGACGAGGAGCUUGCUCCUCUGACGUUAGCGGCGGACGGGUGAGUAACACGUGGAUAACCUACCUAUAAGACUGGGAUAACUUCGGGAAACCGGAGCUAAUACCGGAUAAUAUAUUGAACCGCAUGGUUCAAUGGUGAAAGACGGUUUUGCUGUCACUUAUAGAUGGAUCCGCGCCGCAUUAGCUAGUUGGUAAGGUAACGGCUUACCAAGGCGACGAUGCGUAGCCGACCUGAGAGGGUGAUCGGCCACACUGGAACUGAGACACGGUCCAGACUCCUACGGGAGGCAGCAGUAGGGAAUCUUCCGCAAUGGGCGAAAGCCUGACGGAGCAACGCCGCGUGAGUGAUGAAGGUCUUCGGAUCGUAAAACUCUGUUAUUAGGGAAGAACAAAUGUGUAAGUAACUAUUCACGUCUUGACGGUACCUAAUCAGAAAGCCACGGCUAACUACGUG